rnacentral:rRNA from 1 species
GAUGAACGCUGGCGGCGUGCCUAAUACAUGCGAGUAGAACGCUGAAGGAGGAGCUUGCUCUUCUGGAUGAGUUGCGAACGGGUGAGUAACGCGUAGGUAACCUGCCUGGUAGCGGGGGAUAACUAUUGGAAACGAUAGCUAAUACCGCAUGACAACAGUUAUUGCAUGAUAACUGUUUAAAAGGGGCAACUGCUCCACUACCAGAUGGACCUGCGUUGUAUUAGCUAGUUGGUGAGGUAACGGCUCACCAAGGCGACGAUACAUAGCCGACCUGAGAGGGUGAUCGGCCACACUGGGACUGAGACACGGCCCAGACUCCUACAGGAGGCAGCAGUAGGGAAUCUUCGGCAAUGGACGGAAGUCUGACCGAGCAACGCCGCGUGAGUGAAGAAGGUUUUCGGAUCGUAAAGCUCUGUUGUAAGAGAAGAACGAGUGUGAGAGUGGAAAGUUCACACUGUGACGGUAUCUUACCAGAAAGGGACGGCUAACUACGUG